UAGUACGCCAUCUGUGCCUCAUACAGGUCCAGUGCCCU
rnacentral:antisense_RNA from 1 species